GCAGGGGAGGGCGCACGCGGCGGCUCGGGCUCCCGGGGAGGGCUGGUGUUCUCCGGCGGCGGAGCCGAGCACAGCUGUGGCGAGAGUACACACAGUCCCAACUGCACCCUUUAAGGAAUUUAAGCAGCCGCCUUUGUGGACAAUAGUAAGCUCCCCAUCGACAGAGAUGUCCAAGAAGAGGUGCCACACGCAGUUGGAAGAGGAGACGCAAACUCCGACAGGAAGUGAGGAAGAGGAGGCAAAACAAACAAAAGGGAGAACAUCAAAUGGAACCAGAGAUACGAGGAAGGCACAACUGUGCUCCAGGGAAAUCUCACACCUGUUACAGGUGGGCAAUCGCCAUGGCCAGCCCCGAGUCACGGAUUAACAGCACUUUCUCACCUACAACAGGA